rnacentral:rRNA from 1 species
UACGUAGGGGGCUAGCGUUGUCCGGAAUCAUUGGGCGUAAAGCGCGUGUAGGCGGCCCGGUAAGUCCGCUGUGAAAGUCGGGGGCUCAACCCUCGAAAGCCGGUGGAUACUGUCGGGCUCGAGUGCGGAAGAGGCGAGUGGAAUUCCCGGUGUAGCAGUGAAAUGCGUAGAGAUCGGGAGGAACACCAGUGGCGAAGGCGGCUACCUGGACCAGCACUGACACUGAGGCACGAAAGCGUGGGGAGCAAACAGG